rnacentral:rRNA from 1 species
GUGGGGAAUCUUCCGCAAUGGACGAAAGUCUGACGGAGUAACGCCGCGUGAGUGAAGAAGGUUUUCGGAUCGUAAAGCUCUUUCGUUAGGGACGAACGUGCUCUUUGUGAAUAAUGAGGAGUAAUGACGGUACCUAAAUAAGAAGCCACGGCUAACUACGUGCCAGCAGCCGCGGUAAUACGUAGGUGGCAAGCGUUGUCCGGAAUUAUUGGGCGUAAAGCGCGCGCAGGCGGGAUAUCAAGUCUGUCUUAAAAGUGCGAGGCUCAACCUCGUGAGGGGACAGAAACUGGUAUUCUUGAGUGUCGGAGAGGAAAGUGGAAUUCCAAGUGUAGCGGUGAAAUGCGUAGAGAUUUGGAAGAACACCAGUGGCGAAGGCGACUUUCUGGACGAUGUCUGACGCUGAGGCGCGAAAGCUAGGGGAGCGAACGGGAUUAGAUACCCCAGUAGUCC